rnacentral:rRNA from 1 species
AGUGAACGCUGGCGGUAGGCCUAACACAUGCAAGUCGAACGGCAGCACAGUAAGAGCUUGCUCUUACGGGUGGCGAGUGGCGGACGGGUGAGGAAUACAUCGGAAUCUACUUUUUCGUGGGGGAUAACGUAGGGAAACUUACGCUAAUACCGCAUACGACCUACGGGUGAAAGCAGGGGAUCUUCGGACCUUGCGCGAUUGAAUGAGCCGAUGUCGGAUUAGCUAGUUGGCGGGGUAAAGGCCCACCAAGGCGACGAUCCGUAGCUGGUCUGAGAGGAUGAUCAGCCACACUGGAACUGAGACACGGUCCAGACUCCUACGGGAGGCAGCAGUGGGGAAUAUUGGACAAUGGGCGCAAGCCUGAUCCAGCCAUACCGCGUGAGUGAAGAAGGCCUUCGGGUUGUAAAGCCCUUUUGUUGGGAAAGAAAAGCAGCAGAUGAAUACCCCGCUGUUCUGACGGUACCCAAAGAAUAAGCACCGGCUAACUUCGUG